UACGUAGGGGGCUAGCGUUGUCCGGAAUCAUUGGGCGUAAAGCGCGUGUAGGCGGUCCGGUAAGUCCGCUGUGAAAGUCGAGGGCUCAACCCUCGAAUGCCGGUGGAUACUGUCGGGCUAGAGUACGGAAGAGGCGUGUGGAAUUCCGGGUGUAGUGGUGAAAUGCGUAGAGAUCCGGAGGAACACCAGUGGCGAAGGCGACACGCUGGGCCGUACCUGACACUGAUACGCGACAGCAUGGGGAGCGAACGGG
rnacentral:rRNA from 1 species